UACGGGGGGGGGAAGCGUUGUUCGGAAUUACUGGGCGUAAAGGGCUCGUAGGCGGCCAACUAAGUCAGACGUGAAAUCCCUCAGCUUAACUGGGGAACUGCGUCUGAUACUGGAUGGCUUGGAUUCGGGAGAGGGAUGCGGAAUUCCAGGUGUAGCGGUGAAAUGCGUAGAUAUCUGGAGGAACACCGGUGGCGAAGGCGGCAUCCUGGACCGAUAUUGACGCUGAGGAGCGAAAGCCAGGGGAGCAAACGGG
rnacentral:rRNA from 1 species